ensembl:lncRNA
GCAGAUUUAUUUUCACAGCCUUUUUUAUAUCAUAUUUACCAAGGGGUACCAACAAUUCUGACCAUGACUGUAUGUUCCUUUAUAUUGUAGGCUAAGUGUUAUUAUUGCUAUGAAUUUCAUUAAAGUUUGCUCUCCACAUGGGGGACACCCAGGGCCUGUUUCAUAAAACAAGUUUACCAAAUAAGCCAGGAUUAUUUCAGUUAGUCUGACUUAUUUUGAACCAAAUCAACUGACAAGUCAGACUAACUGAAAUACACCUGGCUUAUCUAGUAAACUUGUUUUAUGAAUCAAGCCCCUGGGCUAGUUGCCACAAGGCUUAUAUCUCAGUAUAACUACAAGGUUAUUUGAGCCAAGAGUGCCAUUUCACCACUUUUUCUUUAGCAGUGAUUUUUUUGUGUGUGUGUGUAAUGGUUUCCUCUCUUGAAUUUUUUUUGUGAAUUCUAUCCUUUAAACUAAAAUACCCAUCAUAGUUUCGCCACUUUGAUUUUCACUAAAGCUUUUGGGUAAACAAGUGAACACAAAACCACAUUGGUAUUCAGACAAGUCAACUAUACAAAAAUAAAAUUACAAAAAACAAAGGGGUGUAAUGUUUUCAGAGGAAAAGAUACCCUGGGUAUAUCAGUACCCUGAUAUAAUACAAAUACCCUGGCCAAUUGAGUUCUCAGAUUUUGACAUCUUCCUUUUUAAAUUGCAAUGAAAUUGCUCAAAUAUCCAAUUUCCCCUUAAUCAAGUACUAACGUUGUUUUCACUUGCCCUGUAAUGUUGGGGCAGGCCGUCAUGUGUCAGACACAUUUUGUACAAAGUUUGUUACUUUUAAACACUACCAUUUACUAUAAAAACUCAAUUGUAUCAACUUUGGCUAAAAAGGAAAUUACAGGCCACUGAAUGAUACGACCAAUGGUGUGACGAUUAAAAUUCAAUUUCCUCUGCAAUAGUUACAUUUUUUUAAUUUAUACAUUUAAAGAACAUGUGGCAUAAAACAAACUCACCCAAAGCAUUUGUUAAUCCUAAGUGAAACCUUACACAGAUGAAGGAUUAGUUUUGAGACUUUAGCAACGUGAUGCCAACGCAGUGGACCAUUUGAAAACUCGUCAGGUCAUAAUAAUGUGUGCAGUUACUCAAUGAGCCAGCAAUACACCGACCCUGCUGGCAGAGAAAACACCCUUCCAGUUACAUCCCACAACUAAUGAGGUACGUAGACAAUUCUAGUUGCUGUAAACAGAAUUUAAUGCAGGAUUUCAGAAACACCUAAUAUUGUUAAGCUGCAUUUGAUAACUUGUUUUCAAUUUAAAUUUAGCAAGCAACGAAUUGGGAUCAUAUGAACAUGCACAAAGUUAAAGGUUACAAGAUUAGGCCGUUAGCAAAAUUUUAAUUUUCACAAGUAUAAAACAAAUUUAAGUCAAUUUAUGUAAUAAAGUACAAAUCAAAACAAAAAUAAAAUAAAUGGAAAGUAAAUGACUAAACUUAAAGUACACUUAAAGUAUCAUUUGAGCAGAGGUUAGAAAGCAAAGACGCCGCAGGGAAUUGAACCCCGUCCUGAAAAUCAGGAGUGCCUCCACCGGAGUCUUUUGCUUUUUUUUCUUAUGAGGUUAAAAGCAAAACCUGAAGGAACAAUCCUAAGACUGUUCCCUCAGGAAAAGAAAAACCUCAAACCCGCUGCUCUACAAUACUCUGGUCUUCUAUGGCUCUUCUUUAGCCUGAAACUACAAAGACUCCAGAUCCCCCCCAAUACUCUUCAAAACGCCAUUGCUACUGCAGAAGUAAUGGUCAAAUUUUCAUAUGCUUUAACUUUGGAAGAUCAAAUCGGACCAGUGAGGUCUUGAACAAGGCUGCACUUCACAUUCAGGUAUGACUUGUUCCUAUUUAAAAGCUGAAACACAAAGAGAAGAGUUUAGAGCCCCCCCCACCCCAAGUGUCAAAACCAGUGUAAUAGAAAUGUAAUUUACCACCAAACAAUGGUCCAGGUCUCGAAAUCCCACCAACACGGCCAGAACAAAAUCCUGCCUUUGUAAAUCACCGUUCCUGGAACUAGACAAAUGCUUGCAGGGUUUUUCCACCCCCCCACCCCCUCCGAACUAUUUUCAUAAUUUUAAGAGGCAAAAGUGCACGUAAAACUUAUCUCCAGCCAGUGACGCUUUACACCCAAUUCUUCAGAGUAAAAGAAUUAGCAAGUCUACAGCUGCAAUGGAAAAGAGCAAAAGUUUACAAGCCCACAUCCCCCCCUCCCCCCACAUCCCAAUUAAAUUUAUCAAUUUACAAACCAUUUCAGAUAUAAAUUAACGCAACUGCAUCGAAGCAAGCACAUCCGUCCACUCCCAUGUUACGGCUCAGUCUCAAUUUUAGAAGGAUCACAACAGCAUACCUGAAAAGAGAGAAAGUGUUGCCCCACCCCUCCCCCCCAAAGCUACCAAAUUCCAAACACUGACAUUGGAUUUGAUUGAAAUUUUAGUGCAAUUGUUAUGUGCAUGCAUACUUAUGUAAAGGUGAGUGCUUGUUUUACCCAUACACAAGAUUAAAGUUAACUACAUGUACUUAACUCAGCAAAUAGAAGCAGAGCGAUGCUCAAUUAGCAAAGUGACGAAUGAGGUUGAUCAGAGCGAAUUGAUGUUUCAUCAGGCGGUUAGGGGUCUCUCAGACGACAAGACAAAUUUGCUCCCUAAGUGAAAUUGACCUAAGAAAAAUGAAGAAUUGGAGAAAAAAAAAAAAAAAAAAAAAAAAAGACGCGCAGAAAUAGAAGAACUUCAGCGAAGGACUUCCGAGGUUUGGACUAAGCUCUCAAGUGCAUUGUAGGGGGAUUCGAUCGCCAUUCAAGUGAAGACAUUCACCAGGGCAACUGCUCUCACAGACAGCCUUGCAUUCGGAUGCAGUUGAGAAGGCAGGGAGACAGACGGGUAAUCUGAAACAGAGCUUCUACACACACACACAAACACUUCCACCACACCAACUGCAAUACUAACUGUAUGACUCAACUAAGGAGUUAAGAAAAAAAAAUGGAUCGUAGCUUCUGAAGCAUUAGUGACUGAUGUUACGUGAAGAUUCUACACUCAAGUUUAAAGAUUCAGACACCUUGUAACUAGACUCCACAGGACGACAUCAUGUAACUUUCACCACACAGCUGGCUGAUGAAAUUUCUGCAGAAAAGAGAAAAGUGCAAAGCCCUCUCCACCCCAAACACAUCUUUCCCAGAUAGCUUUCGGUUGUUCAAACAGUUCCAAAUAAAGCUGCACAGUUGCGCAGCUUUUCCCAGCCACUCUUAAUUUGGAGUCUGGAGCACAUUUGUGCAACAGUGGAACAGACCAUUACUAUACAUUUGUAAAGCAACUUUUUUCUACCCUGCACAGUUGCGCAGAGCAGUGGCUGGGUAAUUAAUAUUUAAAAAGCAUAGUACAGUUUAAAGUUUACUGUAGCACAAUGAAUUGUUCUGCCUGCCGGAGAAUUCGGUGGAACUGGGUCAUAACUUCAGAGAGGUGGCAUUCUUCACGAGGCUUUGUAAGACUCUGCAAGACCAAAAGUGGCAAAAAGACAGACCCCUAUGCCCACCCUUACAAAACCCAAUAUAAAUAUAAUAAAUAAAAAAAAAAAGACAAGAUCCAGAUAAAAGGGGAGGCUUAUAGCCAAAGAGACUACAAUUUAAUGCAUAUCUUCAGGUUAAAUUUAUAUUUUGCCUUUCUUCCCUUGACCUGAGCAGUUGUAGGACUGGACUGAUCUGCCUCUCCAACUUGAACAGUUGACAUCAAGCCCUGGCAUCCAAGCUCUACAAAAAGCGCCAAGCUUUACACUCACACCUGAAAAAGCAGAGAAAUACCCAAGAAAGCCCCACACAUACCCCAAGAAACAAAAUGCAUACCAAAAUUUCAAUCACAACAAGCUAUGCAUUUAUUAACUGAAAAUGGGAACAAUUACAGAAUGUACACUUGCAUACAAAUUACAAAAGCUAAUUUGUAAUAAGUGCUCAACCACACAGCUUACAAUUAUAACAGACUAUUAAUGGAAAAAGGUUAGGAACAAAUGGGCUUGCUUAGUGACCUUACGUGACCAAAAGAGGCUGAAGUUGAUUGAUGUGAAAGCAAAUCUUUACAUACAAUGUUAGGAGGACAUCUUCAGUUGAAAGCAUUCAGGGACACGGCACACUGAAAAUGCAAAGGGGGAGGAAAAGAAAGCCUACACACAUCCCCACUCUUUAAAAUACAAAAACGUAACCAAACAAUAAGCAACUAAUACAAUUACUGCUUAGACACUUAGCCAUCAAGUUGUAUCCAAGUACAAUACAAUGACAGACAAAAGCAAGUGAAGUCAUUUACAUGAAUACCCAAUUACUUGCCAUUAGAAAACCUAAAAAGCAUCUUGGCCUCUAUUGAAGUAGCUUUGCUCCUUAAGUGGGGGAGGGGAGCAGAUAUUGGUUGGACCACCAGCUUUGUUCUUUGAGGGUUUGUUUCAAUCUGUAAGAGUAAAAAUUAAAGCAAUCCCCCCCAGAUCCACAAACCCCAUAGCACAAUAUCAAUACACAACCAAUAUCGAUAUACCAUUCAAUUAUGAGACAAAAGAAUGCCAUAAUGUGUGUUGCCAUAAUGUGUGGUGAAGCGUUUGAUCCCAUGCCGCGUUACCAAAGAUGUAAACGCUGGUCUAGCUGCCAUGGAAGGCUUUUAACAGGGCCACUCAUCCACUGGCAGACACACUGGUGGUUCCUUCCCCCAUACAGCGCUAUUCAAGCCACUGCCACCCUUAAAUAAAGCCGCUUUCACAAGCUGCAAAGUCUAGGAAAAGAUUGGGUUAACAGCCCACACCCCUCCCACCCCGAUGCCCAUGACAAUCCCCAACAUUCAAUACUGGAAAAUGUGUUUGCAAGUAUAUGGUUCACAAUUCCAAACACGACUUAAAUUCAAUGAGGUACCUUCCUAAAUCCCAUCAAAGUAGAGGCUUUCCUUGUAGCUUUGUAAGAAUCGUUACAGAGCAGUCAACAAUUUGACUCUAAAAGGGUCCACACAACAUCCUGGAAUCCCUUUUGGUUCUAUCGCCUCUAAUGUGACCAGGGCCUGUGGGAAAGAGAACUCGAGAAACGCAUUUGCCCCUCCCAAACCCCCAAAACACUGUGCAAUAACAUAACACUAUUCAGAAACUGCAUUUGCAAAAUCUGUGUUAAUACUUUUACAAAAAAUAUUGCGUUUCUCGCUUUUUUUUUUUAUAAAUAAAAGCAGUUGCUUCAAUUUAAAAUUUAAAUUCAUGCAUGAACUCGUCAAAAUUUUUACCGGCAGGCAAUACGCAGCUGCCCUGGCAUCAUAUGUCGGACUGACGCAGUGGGGGUGCAGUAGAGGUAGUUGUGUCGUGUAGGGACAGACGCAGAGGAACUUCAACUCCGAAAAACCCUUCGCAUGUGGAUUGCUUCUCAGGACAGACCUAAUGGAUUUAAGCGGAUAUGGGGACGACUUUUCCACGGGCCUAGAACCAAAACGCAGCGGAGGCGUGGUCGAUUAAGGACGGUCAUCUCCACAGCACACUAACGCCAUUCAUCAGACUUGGCCAACAACAGGAUAGACGACACAUCGGAAUUUCAAACAUUGUCACUCACCACGCCUGAAAAGGAAAGAACAGAACUUCGCGAGCAAAAGUGUUCUGGAAUGCAAACUACUGACAUGACUUCAGAAUUACACAGGAUACCUCUACCCAUACAAACCAAAUGCCCCCUUCAUGACUCUGAUAUGGUGAAGACCCCUGAUACUCUCUGCUCGUGAGCCCUCUUUCUUUCUCUGCAGCUGUUGGGACAUUCAUCUUUGGCUUGCUCUGAUCUAGACCAGCUGAGCUCCCUCUGGUGGCGAAAGUUGUCCUGACGCUACUCUGCCCUGUGGCUCUGGCUCCCCCUCUGGAUACUGCUGCUCCUCGCCCUGCUCUGUGCCCUCUGAUCCUCCCCUGGUUCCUCUCUGGUCCUGCCUGGCUCGCCAUCUGGUCUUGAUUCUCCCUGGUCCUGGCCUCUGCUGUAGAUCUUUUCUUCCAUCCGUUGUCAUCUAAGCGCUAGGUCGUUACUGAAUAAGAUUAACUCAGUCCAUUUCAACUUUCCUCCGUACUUCAGUCUUCUGCUGAUAUUUUUGGAUCAUGAAAAACAAGCUAUGCUCCUAUUUCACAGCUGUUGCGCAACAUGUGACUCAGUCCAUAAAAGCGAUCACUUGUGUGGGUUGGUCAAGCACUCAAAGUGCGUCAUCGUAGCUGAUUAAAACGCUUCGAGGCUUAUAAAUAGAUGCUCGAAAUAUUGGUUUUAUGGAAGGAAAAAAAAAAAAAAAAAAUUCUAAAACAAGUUGACUGCGACUAUAAUCGUCAUCUAUAUGUUCCCAACUAUAAACUCACUUAAUGUUCAAUUUCUUCCUAAUAAAAAGGCAACAAGACGGGCUUCAAAAAAUAAGUAGAAACUAUGUAUAUUUUUUUAGUUUAUCUUCGCGGUAAGCCGUUACGGUUUUCAGACAAAAGCCAAGUCUGUUUGUUUUUAAGAAAAUCUUCUGUGACGUCAGUCUAGUCAUCAUAUAUCUGCGUGUCGUCGCGACCGCCAUUUUGUUAACGUUGCUAACGCUGAGAAUGAGAAAGCAAAUUUUGAAGAAAAACAAGCUUUUUAAGUCAAGUCCCUUCCUAAACCUCGUUGAUAGAGGAAUAUACUUAAAACUAGCUUAAUAAAAUAAGAUAACAUGGUCAUAGCAGCGCUUUGCUUUAGCCAGCUAGUAAAACAUUAACGUUAGCUAACUUGGUAAAAUAAGCGAUAACGUUCAGUUAGAUACUCCGUUUCAUAAAUUGCUUAUUUCAUAGUUUGUCUUUUCUAUUAGAAACAGCCUAACGUUAAAGUCAAUUGUUUCUUCAAAAAAAAAGGCACUUAUCAAAUCUUCUUCACGCCAAACGUUAUUACUAGAAAGCCUAAAUGUAGUCACCUGCAACAAGGUAUAAGCAUAAAGGCGAAAAAAGUUGACAAAGGACAGUGCCUCUAACUUAUCGUCAAAAAGUAAAAUAAGAUGAUACGAAAUCACAUCACCAGCUCCACGAAACCUCCCUGCCUUUCUCAGCGCCUCAGCCCGUCGUGACGCGUUUCGCU